rnacentral:tRNA from 1 species
GCCUUCGUGGUGUAGUGGUCAGCACACUUGACGUGUAACCGAGAGGUCCGUGGUUCGAUUCCCAGCGAAUGCU